AUGAGGAGACAGAUUUACUGCGGUGCAAUCUCAGGGCAGAACACUUCUCCCAUUAACGUUUCGUGGGAGUCCCACACACUUCCUGUGCUGCAGUUGCAGCUAUGCAGCCUGAGUGGCCCCAGAACUGCCAGAUUCCCUGAGCAGCAUAACUCCCUUGAAGAAAGCUUCUCACCCACGGUAUGGCUCAGGCAGUUUCACUCGGCCGUGCCAGCUCCAGCCUGGGAUCUUGCAAGAAGAGCAGGACAGACGGGCAGGCAGGAUGUGACAGGUGAAGCAGCGUUCUUGGCACAGCAAAUAGUGUUUGCUUUGGGUGAAAGGUCUAACCCAGGUUUGCUCCCGCCAGCCUCCUCGCUCUCAGGGCCUUGCUUCCAGGUGCCUCCCUUACACACAUGGGCUCUGGCCAGCCCCAAAGUGAAAUUGCAGGGCU
rnacentral:lncRNA from 1 species